rnacentral:misc_RNA from 1 species
GAACGCACAUUGCGCCCGCUAGUAUUCUGGCGGGCAUGCCUGUUCGAGCGUCAUUUCAACCCUCAAGCCCCAGCGGCCUGGUGUUGGGGACCGGCGACCUCGCCCGAGCCCGCCCUCCGGGGCGCGUGCCCGGUGCGUCCGCCGCCCCCGAAAUGAAUUGGCGGCCUCGUCGCGGCCUCCUCUGCGUAGUAGCACAACCUCGCAAGCGGGAGCGCGACGCGGCCACUGCCGUAAAACGCCCAACUUUUUUAGAGUUGACCUCGGAUCAGGUAGGAAUACCCGCUGAACUUAAG